CCGAAAAUUGGGAAGGAGGGGAAAGCCUGCAGGAAUCUGCGCUCGAGGCGCUGCUGUCUCUCCCUCACCCCUCUCAUCGUUUUGCCUGAGGUGGGGCUGACUCACCCGCAGCACGCUCCCCGGCUGGCAAGCUCCCCACCGCCUGCACCGCAGCCAAGGAGUGAGCACACAGGUUUCCUGCCAUCGCAGUGAGAUGGGGCUUUCACACUCCUGAACUGUCUGUAUAUGAGCAAGAAGGGGAUCUUGGCAGGGAUGCCAGAGCCACCUCCUUCCAUCCUUGCUUCCGUGAACUUUUCCAAAGGUUUCAAGGGUGGCCUGCAUUUGCUGUUCCCUAUUGGCUUUGUCACAUUGCCUGCUCCCCAAGUCUCAGGCUGCCAGCACAUCUCUCCCCUGGAUGACUUAGCUCGUGUUAUUUUGUGUUAAAACCAGUAUGAUUUUUUAAUGGCUAUAAAUAAGUUAAAACUGCAUCUUUAAUUAAUCACUGCACUUUAUAUUGUAAGUGGAGAUUUUUCGUAAUGACUCGUUUAUGAUUUUAAGAUGCCAUUUGCUCACUGUCAAAUGCAUCCCUCCAUGUUUAUCCCUUUUAUCCCUCCCUGUUUAACAGAUUCAGGGUGGAAACAAAAUUUCAUCAAUAAAGGAUUCUAAUCCAUUUAGUCCAGAGCAAAUAAUUGGUUACUAAGUAAGUGGGAAGGGAUUGAGUGGAUACUUUUAUCUAAGCAACAGUGAACUUUAGGCAAUAGACAGUAUGUUCAUAAACCCAUUUUAAACUAAUCUUAAAAUGUUUAUUUUUCACUCAUGAGGGUUUGAAAUUGGAAAUACGUAUGUCUGGAUGACUAGAACAUGAACAACAAAUAGGAGCAGCAGUAUGCAGCAAAGGACACCCAAUCCAGCACCAUCAGCAUCUUCACAGCAUCUGCCCUGUGCAGGAUCAAAGUCCAGUUCGUGCCCUCUGAGAGAGACCGUGGAGCCCCAGCCUGGCCUGCCUGCCUCACGCAUCGGGACUGUGCCUGCUGUUGAGAGCAGAAGCAGCUCACUAGCACCAGGCUGUUG